GGUCGAUGAGAUAUCAGUGGACACCAUUACAGAUAUGGUAGAAGGAAGAGUCUCACAGUGGUUUCCAAGUGUGGUCCCCGGACCUGCAGCAUCAACAUCACCUGGAAACCCAUUAGAAAAGCAAACCCAGCUGUGGGCCCAGCAAGUUGUAGUUUAACAAGCCCUUCAGGUGUAUACUUUGGGAGGUACACAGACCCACUGUAGCACCUUCAGAUGGUGAGAAGGAAGGCCAAUUAAAAGAAUGUCCAAAGAAAGGAGUACUCAUCAUGAGAUAAAACACCAGCAGAGGAAUGAAAGCUGCUUCAAACAGGUGACAAAACUGAGGCUCAGAGGCCAAUGGCCUUGUUCAAGGUCACACGCCCACUAAAUGAGAGACCCGGAGACCUGGCAUCACACGCUAACUAAGAAUACUGGAAGGAGAUAAGAUUGGGACUGAAAGACCUGGAUUGAAUGAUUUUUAUCAAGUCACUUCCCUUCCUUGGAUCUCCAUUUACUCAUCAAUAAACUAAGCAGAUUGGAUUAAAUGUUCUGUAAGGUGCCUUCUAGGUGAGGAAGAAGUUGGGAUAAGUCAUAAGGAAGCACCCCAAUGAACAUCUCCUGCCUCUAUGGUUUUUCUGACAUCCAUCAACAUCUGUCAGAAUUUGAAAAUGUGACUGCUUUUAGGCACUGUGCUUAGUGCUGGAGAUUCCGUGUUGAAGCUCACAGUCUGGGGCAGAGAUGGAAACAGACACAAAUAACUAUAAUACAAUGUGGU
rnacentral:lncRNA from 1 species